UGAGGAGAAUUUCGAGACUUCACCAAAGCGUUGGGAUGGUCUUCGAAUAAUUUUUCAAUAAAAGAUUACCGACUCCAUCAUUUAAAAUAAACAAGUCACGACAUCAUUCUACGCUUGCAUCAUAUGCAUACGUAAAACCAAGUGAAAAACUCAGUCUGGCAAUUCAAUAAAAAUUUAAUUAAUAAAAUAGGGAUUAAACUAAGAAAAGGCUAUAUUAAGAUAACUUAAGAUUAAAUGGUACCGUUCGU
rnacentral:lncRNA from 1 species